rnacentral:rRNA from 1 species
GUGGGGAAUUUUGGACAAUGGGCGCAAGCCUGAUCCAGCAAUGCCGCGUGUGUGAAGAAGGCCUUCGGGUUGUAAAGCACUUUUGGCAGGAAAGAAAUAGUGCGUGCUAAUACCAUGCGCGAAUGACGGUACCUGCAGAAUAAGCACCGGCUAACUACGUGCCAGCAGCCGCGGUAAGACGUAGGGUGCAAGCGUUAAUCGGAAUUACUGGGCGUAAAGCGUGCGCAGGCGGUUUUGUAAGACAGGUGUGAAAUCCCCGGGCUCAACCUGGGAACUGCACUUGUGACUGCAAGGCUAGAGUGUGUCAGAGGGAGGUGGAAUUCCGCGUGUAGCAGUGAAAUGCGUAGAGAUGCGGAGGAACACCGAUGGCGAAGGCAGCCUCCUGGGAUAACACUGACGCUCAGGCACGAAAGCGUGGGGAGCAAACAGGAUUAGAUACCCUAGUAGUCC